UAAUUUUAAGUUUAACCUGCCCAAUGAAAAUUUAAAUGGCCGCAGUAUUUUGACUGUGCAAAGGUAGCAUAAUCAUUAGUUUCUUAAUUAGAAACUAGAAUGAAAGGUUGGACGAGAAAAUAACUGUCUCUUUAUAAUUUUUUUUGAAUUUUAUUUUUAAGUUAAAAAGCUUAAAUAAGUUUAAAAGACGAGAAGACCCUAUAGAGUUUUAUAUUUUUAAAAGUUGAUUUUUUAAUAUUGAAUAAUUUUAAUUUAAUUUAUAUAAAUAUUUAAUUGGGGUGAUUAAAAAAUUUGAAAAACUUUUUUUUUAUUUAAACAUAAAUUAAUGAAUAAUUGAUCCAUUAUUAGUGAUUAUAAGAUUAAAUUACCUUAGGGAUAACAGCGUAAUUUUUUUUAAGAGUUCUUAUCGAUAAAAAAGUUUGCGACCUCGAUGUUGGAUUAAAAUAAAUUUUUGGUGUAGAAGCUAAAAUAUUAGGUCUGUUCGACCUUUAAAAUUUUACAUGAUCUGAGUUUAAACCGGUGUGAGCCAGGUUGGUUUCUAUCUUUAAAAUAAUAAAAUAUUUUAGUACGAAAGGACCAAAUAUUUAUAAUAAUUAU
rnacentral:rRNA from 1 species